AGGGCGCAGGGCGAAUGCCUUGGCACUGGGAGCCGAUGAAAGACGUGAUAAGCUGCGAUAAGCUUCGGGGAGCUGCAAAUAAGCAUUGAUCCGGAGAUUUCUGAAUGAGGAAACUCACCUGGGUUCAUACUCAGGUACGUUAUACUGAACUUAAAAAUAGGUAUAUCGAGGGAACCGCCUGAACUGAAACAUCUAAGUAGGGCGAGGAAGAGACAUCAAACGAGAUUCCGUAAGUAGUGGCGAGCGAACGCGGAAGAGGGCAAACCGGGAGUAGAAAUACUUCCGGGGUACGGACUGCUUUUAGGACUUAAUCUGUUAACCGAACGGCAUGGGAAGGCCGGUCAGAGAGUGUGAGAACCACGUAGGUGAAAACGGAGAGAGCUGCGCAGGAUCCAGAGUACGGCCAGACACGUGAAACCUGGUCGGAAUACGGGGGGACCACCCUCCAACCCUAAAUACUACCCAGUGACCGAUAGCGUAUAGUACUGUGAAGGAAAGGUGAAAAGCACCCCGGGAGGGGAGUGAAAAAGAACCUGAAACCCUGUGCCUACAAGCACCUAGAGCGCGUCAAAGCGUGAUAGGGUACUUUUUGUAGAACGGUCCGGCGAGCGAUUGUAUGCAGCAAGGUUAAGGACUUAAGGUCUGGAGCCGAAGCGAAAGCGAGUUUGAAAAGGGCGUUAAGUUGCAUAUAAUGGGCCCGAAACCGGGUGACCUACCCAUGGUCAGGUUGAAGUGGAAGUAAAAUUCCAUGGAGGACCGAACCGACCUCCGUUGAAAAGGCGGCGGAUGAACUGUGGGUAGCGGAGAAAUUCCAAUCGAACCCGGAGAUAGCUGGUUCUCCCCGAAAUAGUUUUAGGACUAGCCUCAAGUUAGAUACCUGGAGGUAAAGCACUGAAUAGCCUAGCGGCCGAGAGGUUAGCGAAGCUUAUCAAACUCAGAAUGCCAGAGUAUUGAUGCUUGGGAGUCAGACAGUGUCAGAUAAAUGUCAUUGUCAAAAGGGAAACAGCCCAGAUCUACAGCUAAGGUCCCAAAGUCAGGUUAAGUGGAAAACGAUGUGAAGAUACGUAGACAACCAGGAUGUUGGCUCAGAAGCAGCCACUCAUUCAAAGAGUGCGUAAUAGCUCACUGGUCGAGCGUCUUUGCGCGGAGAAUUUAACGGGGCUAAACCUGACACCGAAGCUUAGGCAAUACAGCAAUGUAUUGGGUAGGGGAGCGUUGUAUACGCGGUGAAACAGUAGCGCAAGCGGCUGUGGAGUGUAUAGAAGUGAGAAUGCCGGAAUGAGUAGCGCGAAUGCAGUGAGAAUCUGCAUGGCCGAAAGCCUCAGGUUUCUGGAGGAAGGUUCGUCCGCUCCAGGUUAGUCGGGAGCUAAGGUGAGGCCUAACGGCGUAGCCGAUGCACAGACGGUAGAGAUUCCGUCACCACCAAAAGAGUUAAACACAGGGACACAUAUGAAGUCUCGGAGCCGGGUGUUGGUUCCGGUAGCGAUCGAGGGAAAUUAGUACCGAAGUCCGGGAUGGAAGAUGGCGAGAAAAGCUGUGUGUAUUUCUGCGGUGCCCGUACCGCAAACCGACACAGGUAGGUAGGAAGAAGAUUCUAAGGCCAACGGGAGAAGGGUUGUUAAGGAACUCGGCAAAUUGACCCCGUAACUUCGGGAGAAGGGGUGCUCCAGAGAUGGAGCCGCAGAGAAUCGGCCCAAGCAACUGUUUACCAAAAACACAGGUUUGUGCUAAAUCGAAAGAUGACGUAUACGAGCUGACGCCUGCCCGGUGCUGGAAGGUUAAGAGGAGAUGUGCAAGCAUUGAAUCGAAGCCCCAGUGAACGGCGGCCGUAACUAUAACGGUCCUAAGGUAGCGAAAUUCCUUGUCAGGUAAGUUCUGACCCGCAUGAAAGGCGUAAUGAUUUGGGCACUGUCUCAACAGCCCGCCCGGCGAAAUUGUAGUACCGGUGAAGAUGCCGGUUACCCGCGACAAGACGGAAAGACCCCAUGGAGCUUUACUGUAGCCUAAUAUUGGGUUUCGAUGUUGCAUGCACAGGAUAGAUGGGACACAGGGAAACAAGUGCUUUGGCAUUUGUGGAGUGGCCGUUGGGAUACCAUCCUUGCGAUAUUGGAAUUCUAACCUGCGCCUUUGAAUCAAGGCGGGGGACAUUGUUAGGUGGGCAGUUUGACUGGGGCGGUCGCCUCCUAAAGAGUA
rnacentral:rRNA from 1 species